rnacentral:rRNA from 1 species
CCGGCGACCGGCGCACGGGUGAGUAACACGUAUGCAACCUGCCCUCCGCAGGGGGAUAACCCGGAGAAAUCCGGACUAAUACCGCGUGGUACAUCUGUGGGGCAUCCCACGGGUGUUAAAAGGAAGUGAUUCCGGCGGAGGAUGGGCAUGCGGCGCAUUAGCUAGUUGGUGGGGUAACGGCCCACCAAGGCGACGAUGCGUAGGGGUUCUGAGAGGAAGGUCCCCCACAUUGGAACUGAGACACGGUCCAAACUCCUACGGAAGGCAGCAG